rnacentral:lncRNA from 1 species
GGGAAGCAUUGGAGUCAACGUGGGCUAACAUCCAUGUGGGGAGGGGGGUACAAGUCAAUAUUAGGAAGGUGUUCCUAAUGUUUGGUAUCACAUCAUUCACAUGCUGCACUUAACUGAACAGGCAACCUCCAGUUCUGCUCAGAAUAGAUGCCACACUGUAAUGUUUUAAUUUUAAAUGACUUGACAUUCAGUAAAUAAUACUUUAUGUCUGAGUGAAAACGUUGGUUUAAUGUUGGAUGACCUGCAUUAUGGCCUGCAUAAUGUAAAUGUAAAAAAUGUAAUGUAAUGCAUAAAUUAUUGUUAUGACUCCCUUGACAAUGAGACUACAUCUGCUGGAAAACCACAUUACCCAGUCCCAGCCUCGCAUUUAGAUUUCCUGUAGGCUGUUCAACAUUCUCUCUACAGCAACCCACGGCGCUGUUGUUCUUGGUUGAAGGAACAAGCAAAUAAUAAUUAUGUUGGGUCAGGUUGUACGACGAUUCACAACCUCUGCGGUUCGCUCAUCGCAUUACGGCGAGGGACCAGGACAGAACCUGCCAUUCUCAGUGGACAACAAGUGGCGUCUGCUGGCAAUGAUGGUGGUGUUCUUCGGCAGUGGCUUUGCCUUCCCCUUCAUAGUCGUCAGACACCAGCUCCUGAAGAAGUGAAGUGGCGAUGCAUGCCACGUAACCUCCAAGGUCUGCGCCCAGAACAUAUUUAUCCAGCAGAACUCCAUUCGCUUCGAAGAAUGGAAAUCCCUAAUUGUGUUUGUAAAUAAAGUUCACUCAAAUGUAUAUUGUUCAAAUACGUUUUUGUCCUUCAGUUUGGGUUUCCACUAGAUUCUGUAGCCACGAAGUAAAAAUUGGCUAUUGUAAAAAUUCAUGAAAACAAAUCUGCUUUUUGGUCUUAAUUUAAGGUUAGGCAUAAGGUUAGCAGUGUGUUUGUUUAAAAUCAGAUUUUAAGAAGAUACAUUGUGGAAAUAGGCAGGGUUUAGCCAUGAUUAUGACUUUGUGGCUAUAGAAGUUAGUGACAACCUUGAGUUUGUGGUCCAGACUGUGAUGUCAUGCUUCAGCAUACGCAUCUCCAGAAGUGUCACUCAUGGAGUAAUGAUUUUUAUGGGACUUUUCAGAAUAAUGUAGGUACAAAAUGGGGAGAAGGCAUGUCUGAGACUUUUCUGUUUUGUGCCUACUGUACAAAAAGUUGUCAACUAGGUUUGUUUCCAAGUGGUAUUUUCUGUGUGUAUUUGACUUCAUAAUAUACAAUACCGUUCAAAAGUUUGGGGUCACUUAGAAAUGUCCUUGUUUCUGAAAGAAUAGCACGUUUUUUUUUGUCCAUUAAAAUAACAGAAAAUUGAUCCGAAAUACAGUAUAGACAUUUACAACAUUAACAAUGACUAUUGUAGCUGGAAACGGCUGAUUUUUAAUGGAAUAUCUACAUAGGCGUACAGAGGCCAAUUAUCAGCAACCAUCACUCCUGUGUUCCAAUCGCACGUUGUUAGCUAAUCCAAGUUUAUACAUUUAAAAGGCUAAUUGAUCAUUACAAAACCCUUUUGCAAUUAUGUUGGCCCAGCUGAUAAACUGUUGUUCUGAUUUAAAAAAGCAAAACUGGCCUUUGAGAUAAAAACGGCUGCAUUGGACCUUUUAGGUAAUUAACAUCCCAUCAUGCUUAGGGUCAUGUAUGAAAAUGCUGGGCAGGCCAUUAUUUUGGCUGCCGUGGCUAUGGCCCCAUAGGAUGACAAUACCCCCAUACACAGGGCACGAGUGGUCACUGACUGGUUUGAUGAGCAUGAAAAUAAUGUAAACCAUAUGCCAUGGCCGUCUCAUUUACCAGAUCUCAACCCAAUUGACUACGUAUUGGGAGAUUCUGGAGCAGUGCCUGAGACUGUUUCCCACCAACAAAACACCAAAUGAUGUAAUUUCUUGUGAUAGAGCUUAAUUUCUAAGUAGCGCUAGCUAGUUAGCAUUGGCUUGGGAAACUACCUCUAACAUAAAAUUGGUAUCCAUGAGUUCAUCUGACUGGGGAAGUAGAUGGCUUCAUUGCCAAAAUCCCGAAAUAUUCCUUUAAGACACUUGUUGGUAUUUCCUUUAUUUUGGCAGUUAUCUGUAUUUCCAUGCAGUUGGAGGAGGCUCUAUCUCUCCUGUCUGCCAUAGAGACUAGCUGAAUGCAGAGUUUAUGUCAAAUUAAUGCUUUUUCAACUGAAGAAUGCAGUUGGCCUUUGAGAUGUUAGGUCCAUAGAAUUAUGUCUUGAGGUGUGAACAAAAUUGCUUCAAUUAUAGCAUGCUGCUAGCACACUUUCAGAAUAUUGAAUUACACAAAAGAUGAUUGACUCAGUCUGGAGAAAAAUCUCAAUGUUCACUAAAUUAGAUAAGACUGAUUUAGAUUUUGGGGCUGUCGCAAAAUAAAUUCAGUAGAAGGUAUGGAAAGCCUAGAGGGUUGUUAUAAAAUGGAACUAUUUGUGCUACUGCCAAAAGCCUUAAAUGUAUUUAGUGUUGAAAUUGAAUGUCAAUUUGAAUGCAGGGCAUGAAUCGAAACAUCCAGUUCCCUCUGCUAUAGCUUUAUGGCUGGAAUAGUUUUUGUCUUUCUCACUUGCUCUCUCUGUGUGUGUUCCAUCUUCAUCUGAAAUUCAUUGAAUAACCUAUUUCAGUUCAAUAACCUUCCACCACUGGUAGAAAUAUCCAAGAACAGAAAAGAGAGGAACUGGUAAAGUGUCAUGGGUAAUAUUCCAAAAGUAAGUCAUUUUAAUUUGCCUGUGCUCUAGACUCAUUUUGGGGGUGUGGUGCAGAGUAGAUUUUCAGGCUAAGGAUGAUCUUUUUGGAGUUGUGUGUGUGUCAGCAGCGAGACCGUCACAAAGGGACAUUGGUCAUAAGAAUGAGAAACGACCAGGGCCCUGUUUCCCAAAAGCAUCUUAAGGCUAAGUUCAUUGUAAGAGCAUUGUUAAAUCUCCAAGCUUUUUAACGAAAACAAUCGUUGCUAAAGUUAAACUUGAAAACACUUGUUCUUUACAAGUGUGUGUCGUUGAAUAUUAUUAUUUUUAUUCCAAUUGAGUUCUAUUUUGCUAAUUGUAGGCUACUGUCUUUCACCCUGGAGCUAAAAUAAGCCGUCUCAUUAUUUGCAGCCAUACAGUAUACAGUGAGGGGAAAAAGUAUUUGAUCCCCUGCUGAUUUUGUAUGUUUGCCCACUGACAAAGAAAUGAUCAGUCUAUAAUUUUAAUGGUAGGUUUAUUUGAACAGUGAGAGACAGAAUAACAACAAAAAGAUCCAGAAAAACGCAUGUCAAAAAUGUUAUAAAUUGAUUUGCAUUUUAAUGAGGGAAAUAAGUAUUUGACCCCUCUGCAAAACAUGACUUAGUACUUGGUGGCAAAACCCUUGUUGGCAAUCACAGAGGUCAAGACGUUUCUUGUAGUUGGCCACCAGGUUUGCACACAUCUCAGGAGGGAUUUUGUCCCACUCCUCUUUGCAGAUCUUCUCCAAGUCAUUAAGGUUUCAAGGCUGACGUUUGGCAACUCGAACCUUCAGCUCCCUCCACAGAUUUUCUAUGGGAUUAAGGUCUGGAGACUGGCUAGGCCACUCCAGGACCUUAAUGUGCUUCUUCUUGAGCCACUCCUUUGUUGCCUUGGCCGUGUGUUUUGGGUCAUUGUCAUGCUGGAGUACCCAUCCACGAUCCAUUUUCAAUGCCCUGGCUGAGGGAAGGACGUUCUCACCCAAGAUUUGACGGCACAUGGCCCCGUCCAUCGUCCCUUUGAUGCGGUGAAGUUGUCCUGUCCCCUUAGUAGAAAAACACCCCCAAAGCAUAAUGUUUCCACCUCCAUGUUUGACGGUGGGGAUGGUAUUCUUGGGGUCAUAGGCAGCAUUCCUCCUCCAAACACGGCGAGUUGAGUUGGUGCCAAAGAGCUCCAUUUUGGUCUCAUCUGACCACAACACUUUCACCCAGUUUUCCUCUGAAUCAUUCAGAUGUUCAUUGGCAAACUUCAGACGGGCAUGUAUAUGUGCUUUCUUGAGCAGGGGGACCUUACGGGCGCUGCAUGAUUUCAGUCCUUUACGGCGUAGUGUGUUACCAAUUGUUUUCUUGGUGACUAUGGUCCCAGCUGCCUUGAGAUCAUACACAAGAUCCUCCUGUGUAGUUUUGGGCUGAUUCCUCACCGUUCUCAUGAUCAUUGCAACUUCACGAGGUGAGAUCUUUCAUGGAGCCCCAGGUCGAGGGAGAUUGACAGUUCUUUUGUGUUUCUUCCAUUUGCGAAAAAUCGCACCAACUGUUGUCACCUUCUCACCAAGCUGCUUGGCGAUGGUCUUGUAGACCAUUCCAGCCUUGUGUAGGUCUACAAUCUUGUUCCUGACAUCCUUGGAGCGCUCUUUGGUCUUGGCCAUGGUGGAGAGUUUGGAAUCUGAUUGAUUGAUUUCUUCUGUGGACAGGUGUCUUUUAUACAGGUUACAAACUGAGAUUAGGUGCACUCCCUUUGAGUGUGCUCCUAAUCUCAGCUCGUUAUCUGUAUAAAAGACUCCUGGGAGCCAGAAAUCUUUCUGAUUGAGAGGGGGUCAAAUACUUAUUUCCCUCAUUAAAAUACAAAUCAAUUUAUAACAUUUUUGACAUGCGUUUUUCUGGAUUUUUGUUGUUGUUAUUCUGUCUCUCACUGUUCAAAUAAACCUACCAUUAAAAUUAUAGACUGGUCCUUUCUUUGUCAGUGGGCAAACGUACAAAAUCUGCAGGGGAUCAAAUACUUUUUUCCCUCACUGUAGCAGUGAAGGUUCCACAGAGGAGGAAGGGGAGGAUAAUCCCCCUUGGUGAAUUUAAAAAAGGGUGAUUCUGUGUCAUCGGGGUACAUUUUUAGAAUUUUAUAAAAAAAUAUGUUUAUAUGUUAAGUUCGCCCCAGUUUUUUUUUAAUCACCUCUCUAUCAAGUAUUUUAGCUACUUUUCAGAUGCAUUUUAUACCUCAAUUUUCACUGUUCAAUUAUAGGCAGAGUUACUCUGUGCAGUGUAUGUGUUCUUUUGCCCAUCUUAAUCUUUUCUUUUCAUUGGCCCGUCUGAGAUAUGGCUUUUUCUUUGAAACUCUGCCUUGAAGACCAGCAUCCCGGAGUCGCCUCUUGACGUUGAGACUGGUGUUUUGCGGGUACUAAUUCAUGAAGCUGCCAGUUGAGGACUUGUGAGGCAUCUGUUUCUCAAAUUAGACACUAAUGUACUUGUCCUCUUGCUCCGUUGUGCACCGGAGCCUUACACUCCUCUUCCUAUUCUGGUUAGAGACAGUUUGAGCUGUUCUGUGAAGGGAGUAGUACACAGCGUUGUACAAGAUCUUCAGUUUCUUUGCAGUUUAUCGCAUGAAAUGGCCUUCAUUUCUCAGAACAAGAAUAGACUGACGAGUUUCAGAAAAAAGUACUUUGUUUCUGGCCAUUUUGAGCCUGUAAUCGAACCCACAAAUGCUGAUGCUCCAAAUACUCAACUAGUCUAAAUAAGGCCAGUUUUAUUGCUUCUUUAAUCAGAACAUACGUUUUCAGCUGUUAAAAACAAUUGCAAAUGGGUUUUCUAAUGAUCAGUUAGCCUUUUAAAAUGCUAAACUUGGAUUAGCUAACACAACUGGCCAUUGGAACACAGGAGUGAUGGUUGCUGAUAAUGGGCCUCUGUACGCCUACAGUAUAUAGAUAUUCCAUAAAAAAAGAAUCAGUUUCCUGCUACAAUAGUCAUUUACAACAUUAACAAUGUCUACACAGUAUUUCUGAUCAAUUUGGUGUUAUUUUAAUGGACAUAAAAUGUACUUUCUUUCAAAAACAAGGUCAUUUCUAAGUGACCCCAAACGGUAGUGUAUAUAUUUUACGGAUUUAGUGUAAACUAUAUGCUAGCUGUAAUACUAGCCAAAGCAUGUAUGAAAAGGCUAAGCAGUCUGUUAUUUUUCUCAAACUGUACAAGCGUCAUUUCCAUCACAAACUUAACUGUGGUGGAAAUGACAGAAUGUGGUGGAAAGGACAAAAAUCCAUUGUUAUUAGUUUUAAUUUGUGUUUUUUACUUUAGGGUUAUUUAAUCAUGUUUUAGAUUAAUUUAAUCUAGGAAAUGCUGCAAGGUGUGCAUGAUUUGAAAACUUAAAUUGUAUUUUUCUUAAUUUUUAGAAGAUGCCACAUAAAACAGCACAGAGGUCACAGACAUAGAAACAAAAUAAAAAAGACGUCCUAUAUGAUACCAGGAACAUCUGCAAAAGACAGGGAGAGAUACUGUAAGAAAAAAGAGAAGCGAGAAGUGAAAUCCAUUUCUGAGUUUACAAAGCGAGAACAAAGAAGCUAGAGAAGGCAAUGGAAAGACAACUGACGUAUUAGAAUACAGACUUUAAAGAGAACAGGUGAAAUGGACACCUGUCUAUCAGGCAACACACCACGUCAGUCACCAGAUGACUAGAAGCCAGAACAUGAUGCCAACAUACCUGCCCCAAACUUACCUGUCCCUUAUGCACGCUCUGAUACCCCUUCCUCAUAGUCUGCAACAGGAUUGAGAAGUCAAAAGCUUGCUGGAAGGUUGGAAGAGGUCUUUGAGUUUUACGGAAACCUGAGAAAUACGGGGAAAAAGUAUGAUCAACUGAUGAAGAAAAUGGAGAGACAACAUUCCCCAAAGACAACGUGAGCAAGACAAAGGAGAUGAUGGAAUAAAGGAAAAGGAGGGCCGAACAUGCCCUCAUUCACAUCGACGGGGCUGUAGUUGAGCGGGUUGAGAGUUUCAAGUUCCUUGGUGUCCACAUCACCAACAAACUAUCAUGUUCCAAACACACCAGGAAAGUCGUGAAGAGGGCACAACAAUGCCUUUUCGCCCUCAGGAGACUGAACAAUUUUGUGCGGGUAACGAGCUGAGAUUAGGAGCACACUCUUAAAGGGAGUGCUCCUAAUCUCAGUUUGUUACCUGUAUAAAAGACACCUGUCCACAGAAGCAAUCAAUCAAUCAGAUUCCAAACUCUCCACCAUGGCCAAGACCAAAGAGCUCUCCAAGGAUGUCAGGGA